UAUCUGGUUAUGUCAAUGGUUCUUCACUCUUGUGACCACCUAGGCUGGAAGCUGUAGUAACCUUCCACUCCUGCUUCCCCUUUGGCCGAGUCUCCGCCAUGACGCUAGCAUGCCUCACCUCCUCCCCACCCCUCCUCAUGUCUCAGGCUCUCAAGUCCUCCUUUCUGGACUCUUCCUCAGCCUCCCCACCAGUCCUCCUUCCCAGUCGUUCCUCCCUCCCUGUGACCAAUGCUGUCCCAGAGCAGACUUCUAUUCUGGUUCCUCAUCACCAGCUGAUCCAAGUGAAGCCCCUCAACUGGGCAUUCACGGCCCCCCUUCUGCAGCCUGGACCCAGCUGACCACUCCACGCUUCACGUCCACACACACCCCUUUCUAGGCAAACUUGACCUCUUGCUGAUUCCUAUAGGGGCCAUGCCGCACGCUUGCUUCUCUGUGGCUCUCCUGAGGAUACUUCCUCUUCCUCAGAACCUUCUUUUCUUGUACCUGCUUUCAAAAUUGUAUCAUCCCGAAAGCUUCACCUUGUAUCUCAUCAUUUAAUCUUCCCAGAUUUCCCAAACACGUGUUGUCUCCCUUCCUGGCCUCCAGUCACCCUUUGUUCCUCUCCUUCUCUGCCUUUUGUUAUAUAGUUGUUAUGCAUUUCUUUAUAUUUGUUGAAUAUCAAGGUUCUGGAAGGCAGAGACAUGCCUCUGUUACCCUUUUCCCCCAGCAGGACCUAGCGCAGUGCCUUGUGAACAGUAGGUGCUCUAGACACACUUAGUAGAUAGAUAAAUGUCACUGAGUGGAAAAAAAGGGUUCAUAUUGCAAGUUUUUUUUUCUUUAAUGCAAACUUGACAUGAUAAAAAUAUACUUGAUUUUGGGUGGAAGCAAUAGCUGAGUGGCAGCGGCUGCUGAUUGUGUUCUAGGGGAGAGAGUAGGGGAAGACGUUUGCUUUCCCAGAACAGCCUAUCUCAUUCCUUUCCUUCAGUUACCCAUAGCGCAGAGAGUCAGAGCGGCAGUUGUAGCAGCAAGGGUGGCUGUGGCAGUGGUGGCAGCUACAGUGACAUGUCCAGCAUGAAUCCCAAAUAUGAUUAUUUAUUCAAAUUACUUCUGAUUGGCGACUCUGGGGCUGGAAGGUCUUGCCUCCUUCGUAGGUUUGCAGAUGAUACAUAUACGGAAAGCUACAUCAGCACAGUUGGUGUGGAUUUCAAAAUAAGAACUAUAGAGUUAGAUGGGAAAACAAUCAAGCUUCAAAUAUGGAACACAGCAGAACAGGAAAGAUUUCGAAAAGUCAUCUCCAGUUAUUACAGAGGAGCCAGGGGCAUCCUGGUUGUGUAUGAUGUGACAGAUCAAGAGUCCUUGAAUAAUAUUAAACAGUGACUGCAGAAAAUAGAUCAUUAUCCCAGUGAAAACAUCAACAGAUUGUUGGUAGGGAACAAGUGUGAUCUGACCACAAAGAAAGUAGUAGACUACACAACAGCAAAGGAAUUUGCUGAUUCCCUUGGAAUUCUGUUUUUGGAAACAAGUGCUAAGAAUAAAAAAAAAGAAAAUGCAAUGAAUGUAGAACAAUCUUCCAUGAUGAUGGCAGCUGAGAUUAAAAAGCUAAUGGGUCCUGGAAUAACAGCUAGUCGUGCUGAGAAGCCCAGUGUUAAAAUUCAGAGCACUCUGGUCAAGCAUCAGGUGGAGGUUCCUGCUAAAAUUUGCCUCCGUCCUUUUCUCACAGUAAUGAAUUUGCAAUCUGAACCCAAGUGAAAAACCAUUGUCUGAAUUAUACUGUAUGUAGCUGUACUACAACAGAUUCUUACCAUCUCCACAGAGGUCAGAGAUUGUAAAUGGUCAUUACUGACUUUCUUUUUAUUCUCUUGACUCAAAACAGCUAACUUCAUUUUCAGAACUGUUUUUAAACCUUUGUGUGCUGGUUUAUAAAAUAAUGUAUUUUCCUGAUAGCAGACUGUUUUCUCGUGGUUGGUUAGACUGUAUUUUGUUUUGAUGUUUAUAUUGGCGUGUUUAGAUGUCAGGUCUAGUCUUCUGAAGACGAAGUUCAGCUGUUUUGUAUCAAACAGCACAAGCAGUGUCUGUCACUUUC